AUAGAUUUGCUGUAAGACCGUCCAAAAAUUGUAUCAAUAUACCUUCCAGUUUUCAAAAAAUCGCUGACAGAAAUCUGUCGAGAAAAAUAAUAAUAAUAACUAGACACGAUCUCGUUGCAAGCAACGAGGAGGUCUUCCGUCUGAUUUUAGAAAUGGAGAUUUAUGUUCGAUCUUGAUUUAGCUAUUUAACAGCUAUACAUGAUUUAAAACAGGAAAAGAGGAUCUUCAUUUUAAGUGCCUGAUACUAUUUUGUUUCAGGUGUUUAGAAAUUCGUCACCGUUCUUGAGAUAUUUCAGAAAGAAUAUUUUAGGGGCCGGACCUUAUCUCCUUAUUGGGGCCGCUGAACAAAAAUUGUAAGGUUGCAUGUUAUUAGGUACAUUAUUUUGAGCAUCUUUUCUUUUAUACUGCAUUUCAAAAUAUUUUUUCUUUUUGAGAUAUAGGUUAUCAAAUUUUUGGACUUUUGCCCCUAAAAAUCCUUAAUUACGUAACACAUGAGAAAAAUCAUUAUAAUGUUAGGCUACAUAACUGUUAGAUAAACAUAUUUGCUUCUAUAAUCUAUUACGAAAUACCCCUCGGUAAAGAACUAUAGGAAAAAGACUUUAGAGCCCUCUAGGUCCCUAAUAUUAGGGGCCAGCCCCUUUUUCAUGGUAUCAAAUGAAAGGUCAUUUGAUUAUAAAGACAUUUUGUUCAACAAGUGUUCAGAAAUCCGUUACCAUUCUUGAGAUAUCUGAGAAAGAAUGUUUUAGGGGCAGGUCCCUUAUCUCCUUAUUGGGGCCGCUGAACCAAAUUUUUUAGGCUGCAUGUUGUUAAGGACAUCAUUUUGAGCAUCUUUUCUUUUAUACUGCAUUUCAAAAUAUUUUUUCUUUUUGAGAUAUAGGUGAGCAAAGUUUUGGACUUUUGACCCCUAAAAAUCCUUAAUUACGUAACACAUGAGAAAAUCCUUAUACUGCUUGCCUUCAUAACUGUAAGAUAAACAUAUUUGCUUCUAUAAUCUAUUACAAAAUAUCUCUAAGUAAAGAACUAUAGUAAAAAGACUUUAGAGCCCUCUAGGUCCCUAAUAUUAGGGGCCAGCCCCUUUUUCUUGGUAUCAAAUGUAAGGUCAUUUGAUUAUAAAGACAUUUUGUUCAACAAGUGUUCAGAAAUUCGUUACCAUUCUUGAGAUAUCUGAGAAAGAAUGUUUUAGGGGCCGGUCCCUUAUCUCCUUAUUGGGGCCGCUGAACCUAAUUUUUUAGGUUGCAUGGUGUUAAGUACAUCAUUUUGAGCAUCUUUUCUUUUAUACUGCAUUUCAAAAUAUUUUUCCGUUUUGAGAUAUAGGUGGUCAAAGUUUUGGACUUCUGACCCCUAAAAACCCCUAAUUACGUAACAUAUGAGAAAAUCGUUACACUGCUUGGCUUCAUAUUUGUAAGAUAAACAUAUUUGCUUCUAUAAUUUAUUACAAAAUAUCCCUCGGUAAAGAGAUUUGGGUAAAAGACUUUAGAGCCCUUUAGGUCCCUUAUUUGAGGGGCCAGCCCAUUUUUUCUGAUAUCAGCAGAAAGGUCUUGUAAAUAUAAACUUUUUUUACAUUACAUGUUUUAACAAAAUAUUUUCCAGAAAAGAGAUAAAGAGAGAAAAGCACAAAAAAUUACGACGCUUUUUUAAUGUCAAUUUUCGAGCCAUAGCGAGCUUUGGCGCCAGUAGUGCUAAACAUACAAAACAACAAUCAUGCAAAACUUCAAUCUUUCGUUUACCAACCGUAGAAAUUUGAGCUCAAAAUCUCUUAUAGUUUAGGAGAACGGCCGCAGACAAAAUACCCAUAUAAAAAAUAGAAAAAUCUCAAUAUCUCCAAAACGGAUGUGACGUCAUCAGUGCAAAAAAUUUGCUAUCAAGUUCAGACCACUAUCUAUCACAUCUGAAAAUUUGAUGGAGAUCGGUUGAGCCGUUUCUGAGAAAUCGCGUGCAC
rnacentral:sRNA from 1 species